rnacentral:misc_RNA from 1 species
UCGUGGAGCUUCGGCUCCUUCGAGGGAGAACCCUUGCCUUUUCGAGCACCUGUUUGUUUCCUCGGCAGGCCCGCCUGCCAAUGGGGACCCUUUAAAACUCUUGCAAUCAACCUGAACAAUAUUGUCUGAAACAAAAAAAUCUAAAUCA